ACUUUUGGAAAGAGAAAUUAAGAAAACAAUCCUGUCUGAUCUCGGAAGCUAAGCAAGGUCGGGCCUGGUUAGUACUUGAAUGGGAGACCACUUAGGAAGACCAGGUGCUGUAGGUG
rnacentral:rRNA from 1 species